rnacentral:rRNA from 1 species
UGGGGAAUAUUGCGCAAUGGGCGAAAGCCUGACGCAGCAACGCCGCGUGAGUGAUGAAGGCCUUCGGGUCGUAAAGCUCUGUCGGAGAGAACGAAUGCUCCUGAAGUUAACAGCCUCAGGAGGUGACGGUACCCUCAAAGGAAGCACCGGCUAACUCUGUGCCAGCAGCCGCGGUAAUACAGAGGGUGCAAGCGUUGUUCGGAAUCAUUGGGCGUAAAGGGCGUGUAGGCGGUAUGUUAAGUCAUGUGUGAAAUCCCUCGGCUCAACCGGGGAACGACGCAUGAAACUAGCAAGCUAGAGUACCAAAGAGGGUGGUGGAAUUCCCGGUGUAGCGGUGAAAUGCGUAGAGAUCGGAAAGAACACUCGUGGCGAAGGCGGCUUCCUGGCCCAAAACUGACGCUGAGGUGCGAAAGCAUGGGGAGCAAACAGGAUUAGAUACCCGCGUAGUCCCUGAGCGGGCUGGCAAGGCGCAU